rnacentral:tRNA from 1 species
GGCGAGAUGGCCGAGCGGUCUAAGGCGCCAGACUAAGGUUCUUCCGGUAUCUGGUCCUCACGGGCGUGGGUUCGAAUCCCACUCUCGUCA